UAUGACUCUACACACUAUGGCAUGUUUUGU
rnacentral:piRNA from 1 species